CGCGCAGGCGGCUUGGCAAGUCGAGUGUGAAAUCCCUUGGCUUAACUAAGGAACGGCGCUCGAAACUACCUCGCUAGAGGACGGGAGAGGGAAGUGGAACUCUCGGUGUAGGGGUGAAAUCUGUAGAUAUCGAGAGGAACACCGGUGGCGAAGGCGGCUUCCUGGCCCGUAACUGACGCUGAGGCGCGAAAGCGUGGGGAGGCAAAACA
rnacentral:rRNA from 1 species